AAACCAUGGUGCGGGUCAAAUUGAAGCAAGUCCUUAUACCUCUCCUAGGCAUCAUACAUGUUUUUGUCAUCGAACUGCACAAAAGAAUAUAUGUCAUUUCUCAGUUU